rnacentral:sRNA from 1 species
AGGAAGGAAAGAAGGAAGAAACAAAGAAACAAAGAAACAAAGAAAGAAACAAAGAAAGAGGGAGGGAAGGAGGGAAUCCAGCCUCAAAGGAGAAAUAACCUCUAAUGUUCCAUAGUUGGGAAGCUAUGACUGACAGUCGUUAAGCAUCUAAAUAGCUAGCAGAGGGUGAGCUAAGCAGUUAAACUUGCUCAGCAGCCAAGGAUGCUUACUCAUUCUUCUUGCAGAGGACCUGAAUUCAAUUCCCAGUUCUCACACUGAGAGGGAUCACGCACACAUAUAUGCAACUCCAGUUCUAGUGGAUCUAAUAUGUUCUUCCAGCCUCUGGGAGCACACACACACGCAUGUGUACCUGCACACAAACACAUGGAGAGACAUAUAAUUUGAAAUAAAUCUUUAAAAAGGUGCUUGCUGUCUGGCUUAGGGGUACAUGUGUUCAAGAGGCAGAGGCAGGCGGCUCUCCAAAAGUUUGAGGCCAACCUGAUUUACAUAACGAGUUCCAGGCAAGCAGGGCUUACACAUUUGAGACCCCGUCUCAAGAUAAAUAAAUACAGAAAAGUAAAAGCAAGCAAAGAGGGGUUUGGACGACUCUGGUACUAUGAGAUUCUGUUUUCAAGCAAUGAAUGUGUGAGAUUCCCUGACCUGGUCACUACACAUCGUAAAAUGUAUGGAAAUGUCAUACUCUUAAGUAUGCAUCCUUAUUAAAUGUCAAGGAAAGCUUCUAAAGUCUAUCCCAUCGGCAACUGGAUUCUUUGGAUCCUUUAGGUAUGCUAGGGGAGUCACUGUCUUUCCAACAUCAGGAGAGUGGCUGGCAGAGCGGAAAGCUGAAAGGACACGCAGCCUUUAUGGCACAGUUGAACCUCUGAGUUAGCCAACCCUGAAAUCACUGUACCUUUGGACUUGGCCGUGUGAGUCACUUUCCUUCUUGCCUAAGCUAUUUUUAACUGCUUUCUUUUGUCUGCAUCCAAGAUAACAAGGGGUGGGGUCAUUGAGUACAAAUAGAGAGAGGCGCUCUGAAAGGACAGACAGUAUCAUCAGCAAGAAUGGCUUCCUAUAAUAGGGGUUACUCAGAUAGGACUUUGAUGAGGACAAGAAGCUGGACGUCGAGAAGGAAGGGAGGACACAUCAGGAAGUGAGAAGAGGAGCACGUUUGCUAGCUCCAUAGGUAGGGAUAAGGAAGAAGAGGAAUCUCCUGCAUUUGUAGUGAGACAUGAGCCUUGGAGGUGGACUUGGGCUCAGUCACCCAUGGUGGGGUCAACACUGCUGCUGACCAGAAGGCAGCUGGAUUGUCAAACUGGACCGUGGAGUGAUAAAUCACAGUGGCAUUGGCUUGUUUCCCUGUUUGUCUUCUUGUAUCUUUGCCAUUUUGAAGUCCUCUUCUGUGAUGUGCAGUUAAAGCCUGUGGACUUCUUUUCAACAUUGAGAUACCUGUAAUCCUCUUACCAACCUGUGGAGAGUAUUUACAGGCAAGUCCGUGGUCACAGAGCCAACAGCUUCUCUCCACCCAUUAUGUUUACAUCUACUUGGCAACCUCCUGUAGUUAAUUAACAUCUUGCUCUUAAAGAACUCUGGCUCAACUGAAUGACUUUUCAAUAGUUUAAGUGUAAUUAAUUUACCACUUUCCUUUAAGAUAAAUAGCAUGUUUUCUGAUUUAUUAGAGAAACUGAUGCUUAUACUGAGGCCAUAAAGGUACUCACUAAAUGUUCUAGAAUUUUCUUUCUUUCCUUCCCAUGUAUACCUGCUCUCAACCCCUGGACUGUCUUUCCAGCUCCUGAAGAAGUUAUUAUAUUUUAACACUUAUUUACUUUUAUAUGUCUGACGGCUUGGCUUGCCUUUGUAUAGACACAGCACGUGUUGUGCAUGCUUGAAGUCUGAAGAGGUCAGAAGAGGCAUGAGAUCCCCGGGACUGAUUACAGAUGGCUAUGAGAUGCCAUGCGGGUGCUGGGAACUGAACACAGGUCCUGUGCAAGAGCUCGUCUCGUGCUCUUAAGCCCCGAUCGAUCGGUCUCUUCAGCACCUAGAGGUAUUCUUUAAUGCUGUGCCUUGGAAGCUUUAUAUUUACUCCCCACAGUUAUGCCUCUAACCUACCUGGAACUGAUUUUGUGCAUCGAAUGAGGUCAGGCCAUAGAUCAUUUUUCUCAGAUUUGGGUCCAUUGACUCCACGGUAUUUAUCGAAAAGGCCAUCAUUUGUAUUGUAUGGUGCCAGUGUCCCUGUUGAAAACCAAAUGUCUAUGCACGGAAUGUUGGGUUCUUUGUUUUACUCUGCUGAGCUAUUCGUCUAUGCUUGAGACAAUCCCAGGUUAAACCUUCAUAGUUGACAGGAUUAAGAAACAGGUUUUAAGAGCUAGGUGUGGUGGUGCAUACCUGUAAUCCCAGCACGCAGGAGACAGACGGUUGACGGUUGUUCUUUUAUUGUCUUAUUCUUAUGGCUCUGGAGAUCAAAUGCAGGGCCUUGUGUGUGCUGGGGAAGUGCUUACAACUGAGAUACUGCCGUGCAGCAUUAUGGGUUUUCUUGAGAGGGGCUAUCUGAACAUGGCUACUCAUGUAUCAGAGAUAAAAGUACUUUGCAAGCUUCCUGUCAUGCAAAGUUUAAAUAUAUAUUUAUCUAAUUUUAUCUAAUACUUUAUAUCUAAUAUAUACAUACACAGAUAUGUUAGACGGUGUCUUUCUAUGCAUUCCACACCAGCCUCUGACUUUCAGCAGUCUCUUGCCUCUGCUUCUGAAGUGUUGGUUUAUGUGACAUUAAAACCUCUGAACUUACUAGUAGCCAGCUAUGGAGACAUACACUGUAAGCCCAGCAGUUAGGAAACAGAAGAUGAAGGAUCACUGAGAGCUCGUAGCCAGCCAGGAAUACAGAACGAGACAUUGUCUCUGUUGCUGUGAGGUGUG